GGAGCUUGCUCCAUGGGUGGCGAGUGGCGGACGGGUGAGGAAUACAUGGGAAUCUGCCCAGUCGUGGGGGAUAACGUAGGGAAACUUACGCUAAUACCGCAUGCGCCCUUCGGGGGAAAGCCGGGGACCUUCGGGCCUGGCGCGAUUGGAUGAGCCCAUGUCGGAUUAGCUAGUUGGCGGGGUAAAGGCCCACCAAGGCGACGAUCCGUAGCUGGUCUGAGAGGAUGAUCAGCCACACUGGGACUGAGACACGGCCCAGACUCCUACGGGAGGCAGCAGUAGGGAAUAUUGGACAAUGGGGGCAACCCUGAUCCAGCCAUGCCGCGUGAGUGAAGAAGGCCUUCGGGUUGUAAAGCUCUUUUGUCCGGGAAGAAAAGCAUCUGGCUAAUACCUGGAUGUGUUGACGGUACCGGAAGAAUAAGCACCGGCUAACUUCGUGCCAGCAGCCGCGGUAAUACGAAGGGUGCAAGCGUUACUCGGAAUUACUGGGCGUAAAGCGUGCGUAGGUGGUCUGCUAAGUCUGAUGUGAAAGCCCUGGGCUCAACCUGGGAAUGGCAUUGGAAACUGGUGGGCUAGAGUGCGGUAGAGGGUAGUGGAAUUCCCGGUGUAGCAGUGAAAUGCGUAGAGAUCGGGAGGAACAUUCGUGGCGAAGGCGGCUACCUGGACCAGCACUGACACUGAGGCACGAAAGCGUGGGGAGCAAACAGGAUUAGAUACCCUGGUAGUCCACGCCCUAAACGAUGCGAACUGGAGGUUGGGUGCACUUUGGCGCUCAGUCUCGAAGCUAACGCGUUAAGUUC
rnacentral:rRNA from 1 species